rnacentral:rRNA from 1 species
CCUACGGGAGGCAGCAGUGAGGAAUAUUGGUCAAUGGGCGAAAGCCUGAUGGAGCAACGCCGCGUGGGUGAAGAAGGUCUUCGGAUCGUAAAACCCUGUUGUUAGAGAAGAAAGUGCGUGAGAGUAACUGUUCACGUUUCGACGGUAUCUAACCAGAAAGCCACGGCUAACUACGUGCCAGCAGCCGCGGUAAUACGUAGGUGGCAAGCGUUAUCCGGAUUUAUUGGGCGUAAAGGGAACGCAGGCGGUCUUGUAAGUCUGAUGUGAAAGCCUUCGGCUUAACCGGAGUAGUGCAUUGGAAACUGGGAGACGUGAGUGCAGAAGAGGAGAGUGGAACUCCAUGUGUAGCGGUGAAAUGCGUAGAUAUAUGGAAGAACACCAGUGGCGAAAGCGGCUCUCUGGUCUGUAACUGACGCUGAGGUUCGAAAGCGUGGGUAGCAAACAGGAUUAGAUACCCCAGUAGUC